CCUACGGGCGGCAGCAGUGAGGAAUAUUGGUCAAUGGACGAGAGUCUGAACCAGCCAAGUAGCGUGAAGAAUGACUGCCCUAUGGGUUGUAAACUUCUUUUAUAUGGGAAUAAAAUGUUCCACGUGUGGGAUUUUGUAUGUACCAUAUGAAUAAGGAUCGGCUAACUCCGUGCCAGCAGCCGCGGUAAUACGGAGGAUCCGAGCGUUAUCCGGAUUUAUUGGGUUUAAAGGGAGCGUAGGUGGAUUGUUAAGUCAGUUGUGAAAGUUUGCGGCUCAACCGUAAAAUUGCAGUUGAAACUGGCAGUCUUGAGUACAGUAGAGGUGGGCGGAAUUCGUGGUGUAGCGGUGAAAUGCUUAGAUAUCACGAAGAACUCCGAUUGCGAAGGCAGUUCACUGGACUGCAACUGACACUGAGGCUCGAAAGUGUGGGUAUCAAACAGGAUUAGAUACCCCUGUAGUC
rnacentral:rRNA from 1 species